UGCGCAGGCGGAAUGAUAAGUCAGUGGUGAAAUCUCUCGGCUUAACCGGGAAACUGCCAUUGAUACUGUCAUUCUUGAGUAUAGUUGAAGUGGGCGGAAUGUGUCAUGUAGCGGUGAAAUGCUUAGAUAUGACACAGAACACCGAUAGCGAAGGCAGCUCACUAAGCUGUAACUGACGCUCAUGCACGAAAGCGUGGGGAUCAAACA
rnacentral:rRNA from 1 species